rnacentral:tRNA from 1 species
GGCGGUGUAGCUCAGCGGGCUAGAAGCGUACGGUUCAUACCCGGAGUCGGGGGUUCGAUCCCCCUCCGCCGCUACCC